rnacentral:pre_miRNA from 1 species
AACGUACUCCCUCCGUCCGGAAAUACUUGUUAAAGGAAUGGAUGUAUCUAGACAUAUCUUAGUUCUAGAUACAUUCAUUUUUAUCCAUUUUUUCGACAAGUAUUUCCGGAUGGAGGGAGUACUGA